rnacentral:rRNA from 1 species
UUAAAAAGCUCGUAGUUGGAUUUCGGAGUGGGCCAGUUGGUCCGCCGCAAGGUGUGUUACUGACUGGUUUGCUCUUCUUCGCAAAGACUGCGUGUGCUCUUUGUUGAGUGUGCGUAGGAUUUACGACGUUUACUUUGAAAAAAUUAGAGUGUUCAAAGCAGGCUAUUGCUUGAAUACAUGAGCAUGGAAUAAUGGAAUAGGACUUUGGUCCCAUUUUGUUGGUUUCUAGGACCGAAGUAAUGAUUAAGAGGGACAAUUGGGGGCAUCCGUAUUUCGUUGUCAGAGGUGAAAUUCUUGGAUUUACGAAAGACGAACAGCUGCGAAAGCACUUGCCAAGAGUGUUUUCAUUAAUCAAGAACGAAAGUUAGAGGAUCGAAGACGAUCAGAUACCGUCCUAGUUCUAACCAUAAACGAUGUCGACUAGGGAUCAGCGGGCGUUAUCGUACGACCCCGUUGGCACCUUACGGGAAACCAAAGUUUCUGGAUUCCGGGGGAAGUAUAGUCGCAAGGCCGAAACUUAAAGGAAUUGACGGAAGGGCACCACCAGGAGUGGAGCCUGUGGCUCAAUUUGACUC